UUUGCAUCUACUUCCUUCUUUUCUUCCCAAAUUUUUCUAUUCAGUCGAUUGUAGUACGGUUUGACGAGGGAUGAUGCCAAAGCAAUUGAGAUAGUCCCAACUACAACGACCAUGGAAGCUCCAAAGUAAUGGAAUAUCAUCUUCACGAAGCACCUAAAGCAGAAGCUGAAGCACAAGGUCUAUCGCAAUGGCUUCCUCUCUCUUCACACCUCCA
rnacentral:lncRNA from 1 species